GGAAACAAGAGCUUCAAACUGUGUUUCUCAAUAGGAAAUACUUCAUACCUAAUACAAACUUACAAAAACUGGACUGAUGCUCAGAGCUACUGUAGACAACAUUACACAGACCUGCCCACCAUCCGCAACUCUGCAGAAAAUGACCAGAUAAAAAAAAAUCUCUUAUCUGGAUCUUACAUCUGGAUCGGUCUGUUCCUGGACUCUUGGGAAUGGUCUGAUAAAUGGAGUCGCGUCUUCAGACACUGGGCAGCAGAUCAACCAUUCCUGAAUCCAGGAUCUGGAGACUGUAUUGCGAUGUCAAGAAACAACUCUGGCAGAUGGGCUCAAUACAGCUGUGAUCUCAAGCAGCCUUUUAUCUGCCAUGGGGACAUUAGGAAACAAAUUGUGAGACUGAAAGUCACAUGUAAGGGAAAAUGUGCAUUGGAUGAUUCUUCACUACAGACGGCCAUUCUGAAUGAGGUUUGUAUCUGCCUUAAACUGCGUUUAGUGUCACAUUCUGGUGCAACAACACACUCUUCCAAGAACAGUAUAUGCACUCGAAAGAAACAACUGAAGAAAAAUGUAUUAAAUUACCUUAAACCCAAAAAGCACCACUCAUAUAAUCAUAAUCAUCAUUAUUAUUGAUAAUUGUGUUGUUAUUUAGGGUUACAGAUGUGAGGCAUAUAUAUGUGACAUGAUGUCAGGUUUUAUUUGAUUCUUUCUCACUGGUCUUCCAGAUAAGUGAAAAGCUGAAGAACAUGAUGUUGGACACUGACAACAUAAUAAGCUUGAGAAAGGGGGAAGAUGGAGGGCUGUUUCAUAAGGAGAACAACCAUAUGGUGAAUUAAGAUGAUAAAUGUAAUAGGGAACUGUAAUGUAUGUGGUUUAAGGUUCAAAAAAUAUUAUUUUCCACAUAAUGUACAUUAUUGUUUCUCCUCUAUGCCCCACCUUUCUGAAACAAGUAGUUUUUUUUUUUUUUUUUUUUUUUACAAAAAGCUUAUCGGUCUGAAAAAACAAAAACAAUAAAAAGUCAUUUGUUGCAAUGGGGACAUAAUUAUGGAUAAUAAUGACUUAUACUGUGUUUUUACACGUUGCAUCACACCACGUUAACAAAACCAUGUCUGCAUUUGUGAUUGGAGAGACGGCAAACAACAAGCGCUACUCACUGCCAAAAACUUGCAUUUGAAUCAUCAGUGGCAAAUCCUUUACAUAUGUAAAUGUACUUACAGACUGUGAUUCAGAACUGCCGGCAUUGUCUUCUCUCCAAGGAUCAGGUUUUAGGAGUGUGUGGUUUACUCUUAAACUGUAUAAAGAAUAUCUCUUUGGGAUUUAAAACUUUAAUCUUUGCAAAUUUACAUAUCUUCCUUAUGUACCAACAGCUUGUAACACUACAAAGAGAAAGGAAAACUUGAAACCGCAUAAAAAAAUAUCAAGUAAUGUUAUUAUUUAAAGGAACUGUAAAUAUAACAACAUUAAUAAAUCUA
rnacentral:lncRNA from 1 species